AUACUUAUCUGGCAGGGGGGAUACCAUGAUCAUGAAGGUGGUUUUCCCAGGGCAAGGCUUAUCCAUUGCACUCUGGAUCUGACCCCUACGAUUUCCCCAAAUAUGGGAAACUUGACUGCAUAAUUUGUGGUAGUGGGGGACUGUGUUCAUGCUUUUCCCUG
ensembl:snRNA U1 U1 spliceosomal RNA